rnacentral:lncRNA from 1 species
AAAAGAUUACUCUGUUUUUUUCUGUAAUUUUACUUUUAAAUGGACUUAGAUUUUCUUACAAUCAUAAAAUAGUAACAAGAGGAAUAUUUUUAUUGAUUUUUUCCUCAUGUUGUUGAGCCUGUGAUUUACAGCAAAAAUAGGCGAGACACUGGGUUCCGCGGAACCCUUACAAAUUUUUUGUUUUAACAACAUAUUGGUGUGUUAUUAUAGAUAGUGUUGUAAUUGACUUUUUUUGUUCUUCGAAACUUACCUUCAUGGUCCCAUAGCCUCUUUGCCUCAAUGUCAGAAGUCUUGAUUUAUAUCCUGGACAAGGUAAAACCAAAGCUGCUUUUCCAUCAAGCACCAAACAUUAAGGUGUAAGAAUUAAAAAACUGAUGAGACUCAUGAGUCAUAAAAAUUUGUGUGAGGUAGAUGAUAUGAUAAAAUUUAUAAAAUUUAUAAAAAAAAGUUAUUUUAAAUUCAACAUUUUUUUUUCUAUGUAUGUUUGAUAAAUUUCUUUUUUCAAGAGCUAAAACUAUUUUAAAUGAGAACUUAAAGAUCCAAUUUUAAGGAAUAACGAUAGUGUUUGGUUGAUCUUAACUUUUUGACCCCUUUCAUACUUAUUCUCAAUUCUGUUGACAUUCCAAGUUUCCAAUCUAUUAUAUUCCUUGUUGAUUUAUACUCAUUCUGAAUAUGCAUAAAAUAAUUUCCAUUGGAUUUACAGCAAACAAGAAUCAAUCAACAAUCCUUGCCCCACAUGCUCAUAAAAUAAGGUUAUACAUGUACUAUCCCACCCCCCUGCAAAUAAAAGUUUAAUGCAACACUAUAUAUAUUUUACACACAAUAAUAUUUAAAAUAAAUUGAUAGUUACAUACCUAGUUUACUUUGACAAUAAUUUCUGUUCCCUUGUUUAGAAAUAUAACAGAUUACAGCUGUGCUGUAUGAACAACACCAGUUUGGUCACAAAUAUUUUCAUGGUAAAUUCAGACUGUCUGUACAAAAUAAAAGCAAUUACCAAGAAUCUCUUGCACCAAUAAUUGAUAUAAUUUAUUAAUCUGUUCUUUUUCAUCUGAAUAAAAAAAAUGACAUAUUGCUGA